GUGCCAGCAGCCGCGGUAAUACGAAGGGGGCUAGCGUUGUUCGGAAUCACUGGGCGUAAAGGGCGCGUAGGCGGCUUUGUAAGUCGGGGGUGAAAGCCUGUGGCUCAACCACAGAAUUGCCUUCGAUACUGCAUGGCUUGAGACCGGAAGAGGUAAGUGGAACUGCGAGUGUAGAGGUGAAAUUCGUAGAUAUUCGCAAGAACACCAGUGGCGAAGGCGGCUUACUGGUCCGGUUCUGACGCUGAGGCGCGAAAGCGUGGGGAGCAAACAGGAUUAGAAACCCUUGUAGUCC
rnacentral:rRNA from 1 species